rnacentral:rRNA from 1 species
AUUGAACGCUGGCGGCAUGCUUUACACAUGCAAGUCGAACGGUAACAGGCCGCAAGGUGCUGACGAGUGGCGAACGGGUGAGUAAUGCAUCGGAACGUGCCCAGUCGUGGGGGAUAACUACUCGAAAGAGUAGCUAAUACCGCAUACGAUCUAUGGAUGAAAGCGGGGGACCGUAAGGCCUCGCGCGAUUGGAGCGGCCGAUGUCAGAUUAGGUAGUUGGUGGGGUAAAGGCUCACCAAGCCAACGAUCUGUACCUGGUCUGAGAGGACGACCAGCCACACGGGGACUGAGACACGGCCCAGACUCCUACGGGAGGCAGCAGUGGGGAAUGUUGGACAAUGGGCGCAAGCCUGAUCCAGCAAUGCCGCGUGCAGGAAGAAGGCCUUCGGGUUGUAAACUGCUUUUGUACGGAACGAAACGGCUCUGGUUAAUACCCGGGGCUAAUGACGGUACCGUAAGAAUAAGCACCGGCUAACUACGUG